CGUGCGCGGAGCACCGCGGGGCGGGCUCCGCACCCAGUCAGCUCCGGUGACGCCCAGGGCCCCGCACACUUUCCCGGGCUUCGCGCGGCUUCCUGGCCCCAGGUCCUGCAGCGCCCGUGGCUUGCCCGGCGCUCGCUGGGUUCCGGGGUCGAUGGUCCUAUACAAACAUUAGAGAUGGGGCCGGGGAGGUGCAUACUAAGGAUUCCAGGUCACAGCAGGAGAAAUUGAGUAACUCGCUCCGGGUCCUAACACUGAGUCAAAUGGCUCCUAGACACCGCUUGAAGGCUGUUGAGGGUUUUACCUUGUGCCAAACACUAUUUGGUGCACUUAUCCUCACACCAGGACUGCGAGCUGAGUGCCAACAGUGCCAAUACUACUCCCAUUCAGCGGAUGAGGAAAUGUGCCUGAGGCACAGGUGGGACUGCUAUGGGUUCCGACCCGUCAGGAUUGAAGCUUAAUACCACUAUCAGCAGAGGAGCUCUCUGAGGGCAAAAGGAACAUGGAACAGGAAGCUGUAAACACCAACUGUGGUCUUCUGAACAGAGAAUAAGGAUCAUAGAAGCUAUGCAAGUUUCUCCUUUGCUUCUAUUUUAUAUAUAUUAAUGAAUUUCUUUCGAUUCUCUAUGUCAUUUUAUAUAAUACUUAUAUGGUUAAUUUUAUAAGAUAUCCUUUAGAGUGUCUUAAGAUGGGAUUGUGACUAAAAUAGAAGAUGAAGGAGCAACAGAUAGUAAUGGAUAUAAAGAUUUAAGGAAUAGGAUGGGCAUGUUUUCAUUUGAAGGAGAAAAUGGUUGUAUUCAUCAGGGAUACAAUUUUGUUGUUUGAUUUAAAGCUUACUGGUAGGAGUGGAUCAUACUAGAUAUUAAUUUUUUUAACUUCUAUUCUCAACCCCUUCAAUGUAUCUUCAUCUCCUGAAUUAUAAUGUAUGGAUGUUUAAGCAAUUAUUUCCAUAUUUCUGUGGAGUUAAAGUUCUGGAUAUAAGUUGGGAUCUGCCAAUGAUGGGUGACCAGCAGUGCAGUUUUGGGAGAUGGGAGGGAGAAUAAGGCUAUCCUUCCAUGGCAGGACAAUCUGACGAGCAAGCUGUCACACUCAGGGGCUUUUGCAGGAGCUGCACUCCUCAUAUCCUUGACAGCUUUCUAAGGGUGUUGGAAUCUAUGGUGGCAGCAAGGGGGACCAGCACUGGCAAUGGAAGGGUCCGGCCUUUUGGAUUGCAGCCACAGUGGAAGGUCUCCUGGUUUCCACUCUGAUCAAUCCUUCCAACAAUUAUGGAAGUGUUAAUUUCCUACUAUAGCUUUCUCAACCAAACACUGAACAGUAAACCAAACCUCCCUGAAAAGAGAUUCUACACUGAGGGAGUAGAGGAAUGAAGAUUAAGAAUCAGGUCCUUAUGUGACCCGUAGGUCAAGCCUCACUUGAUACCAGAUCCAGUGAUAAGAGCAUUCCAUUGUUUUCUUCCCUCAGAAACUAAUUUGCAUUAUAUUUUCUUCUUGUUACAUCAAAAGCAUCCUGAGAUGAUAUUCAGAAACACAUUUCUUGGAAAAUUGUUCUCCAUUAAUUUAUUUGAUACUAUUUAUUGAAUGCCUACCUAGCUUGUGCAGUAUUAUAAUGGAAAUAA